rnacentral:rRNA from 1 species
UACGUAGGGGGCAAGCGUUGUCCGGAUUUAUUGGGCGUAAAGAGCGUGUAGGCGGCCAGGUAGGUCUGCUGUGAAAACUCGAGGCUUAACCUCGAGCUGGCGGCGGAAACCAUCUGGCUAGAGUCCGGAAGAGGAGAAUGGAAUUCCCGGUGUAGCGGUGAAAUGCGCAGAUAUCGGGAAGAACACCCGUGGCGAAGGCGGUUCUCUAGUACGGUACUGACGCUGAGACGCGAAAGCGUGGGGAGCGAACAGG